AUGGAGCAUCAACUGAAUUCCUCCAAAGAAACUGAUCAGAUUGGUAAGAGCUGAAUUGGUAAGCAGACUCACAGCAAAACGACUAGCGGACUUCUGCCUCGAGACAGUCAUGUGUGCAUACAUACAUGCAUCCAUACAUGCAUACAUUCAUACAUUCAUACAUGCAUACAUUCAUACAUUCAUACAUUCAUUCAUACAUUUAUACAUACACAUUCAUGCAUAUUUGCUUUCAUGAUUUAUUGUUGUGGUCAUUGCUUGCUUAUUUAGUGACAUUAUUAACUUGUUCUUGUUUGUUUCUUGUGCUUAUUUUCAUUU
rnacentral:lncRNA from 1 species